CGUGACUGUCAUCCCAUUGGGGAUGUCAUUAUAAAAAGCGUAGCGACACAAUUCAAAUGAGAGUAAUUGUUAGCCGUUCGGGAGAAUUUAACGAAAUUAAAGAAGAGUAAUUCAGUUAGAAUAAAGAAAUAGGAUAGAGCAAUUGUGAUUAGUUGGUUCAGUAGAAUUUAGCGAAAAUAGAAUAGAGUAAUUGUUAGCGUCCGGGAGAAUUUAACGAAAUUAAAGAAGAGUAAUUCAGUUAGAAUAAAGAAAUAGGAUAGAGCAAUUGUGAUUAGUUGGUUCAGUAGAAUUUAGCGAAAAUAGAAUAGAGUAAUUGUUAGCGUCCGGGAGAAUUUAACGAAAUUAAAGAAGAGUAAUUGUGAUCAGUUGAUUUAAUUAGAAUUUAAGUUAGGAUUAGAGAAUAAUUGUUCGUUCCAGUUCGAGUUUAAGAGUUACGAGAUAUAAAUGUUAUUAGUCAGUUAGAAUUAAAACAAUAGUUGGCUCAAGUUUUUGUGUUAGAAUUUCGAAUUGUUAAACACGGCCGGACACACUGUUGUUUACACUAUUCAAGUUAAAUAAAGAUUAAAACAAAAAA
rnacentral:misc_RNA from 1 species